AAGCAGAUCACCAACCAACGCCCAGAUUCGAAUUGAAUUCUUCCGGAAGCGUCUCUCCCCUUGUCGUCAGUGGUCUCGGCGUGCGGGCCGACGGACCAACCCAAGCUCCCUCCCCUCUCACAGCAGGCGCCAAUAAUCCCAACCCCAACCCCCAAGCCAGAGAUAACAACCCCAGCGAGUCGGCGGCAACCCUCCUUCCCGCACCGGUGGAGAUGGACGCUCCCUCGUACCGGCUCGCGGCGGCGGUCACGGCCCCCUCGGGCGCCGAGGCCGAGUUCCUCGUCGUCCGGCAGCUGCCCCCGCCGUCCCCGCCCGGGGGCGAGGAGGAGGGGGAGUACGGGCGCUACGUCGACAGCGACCUCUACGACCUCCCGUCGGCGCCGCUGCGGCGCCUCGCGGAGGGGGAGCCGGCCCGGCCGGGCGUCGCCGUCGCCGGCGCGGAGGCGGACGGCUCCCUCGACCUCUCGCGCCUCGACGUCCCCGCCGCCCUCGAUCAGAUUUUGAGCCAAUUGGGCCUGACGAAUGCAAUGUGCGGGGAGUGGAGGCUCCUCAAGCAUAUUGUGGAAGCAGAGUUUGGCCCGGACGCGGGCGUCAACACGGUGCUCGUCAUCACGCCGCUCGAGUCGAAACCGGAGGCAUUGCAAGACUCCUGUAAAUGGAUGACCAAGGAGGGUGCUCGGGAAUUGCUUUCUGACGUGAAAACCGGUGAUACUCGAAUUGGGCCCUAUGUGCACGCUGGAUUUGUGAAAUCGGAGCUAUCGUCAAAUUGUACCACUGACUCCACAUUGGUCUCCCAGGAGUACCCUCCUGGAAUAACCCUUGUACCAAUGAAGAGUAGUACCUUACGGCCAUUUCGUACGACUAAUCUCGUGGUAAUACAAGCAACCAGUGGUACAUGCGGAUCGAAGCGCCCUGAUUAUUUUGCUUGUGGUGAUGCUUUACUGAUAGAUCCUGGAUGUUGCUCACAGGUUCAUACAGAGCUUGCAGAUCUUGUCAAUUCCCUUCCAAAGAAGUUAUUGGUCCUUGUUACACAUCAUCAUAAUGAUCAUGUUGAGGGUCUUUCGGUUGUUCAGAGAUGCAAUCCUGAUGCUGUUCUUUUGACACAUGAAAACACGAUGAAGCGCAUAGGGAAAGGGAACUGGUCAACCAGCUAUACUGCUGUGACUGGUGGUGAAAGCAUAUGCAUAGGUGACCAAGAACUGCAAGUCAUUUUUGCUCCUGGUCAUACAGAUGGUCAUAUGGGGCUUCUCCAUGUCAAUACCAAUGCACUAAUUGUCGGAGAUCAUUGCGUAGGGCAUGGAAGUGCAAUAUUGGACAAUAGAGCUGGUGGCAACAUGAAGGACUACUUCCAAACCACAUACAAAUUCUUGGAGAUAUCGCCACACGUGCUAAUUCCAAUGCAUGGAAGAAUCAACCUAUGGCCCAAGCAUAUGCUUUGUGGAUAUCUCAAGAAUCGAAAGGCUAGAGAAGCCUCCAUUCUGCAAUCCAUAGAGAAUGGUGCUCAAACUUUGUUUGAUAUAGUUUCAAAGACUUACUGUGAUGUAGACAGGAAAUUAUGGAUUCCUGCGUCCUUUAAUGUUCGCCUUCAUGUUGAUCAUCUGAACUCUCAACAGAAACUUCCCAAGGACUUCUCAACGGAAAAGUUUGAAUCGAGCUGCGGAGCACAUUUCAUAUUUCGGUGGGGCGUGGCGUAUGCCCAAGCCAGGAGCUCACCCGCCCUCAUCAUCGCGGCAAGUGCCCUCGCCGCUGGUGGUCUGGCAAUUGUGUAUGCCCUCAGAAGGAGCAACGUCAACCAGCCCUAGGAUUCUUCUCCGAGACCCGGCAAUCCCCAUCCGCGUACACGCGUCUGUCGACCUACGAUCGUGCUGUGAGUCAGACUGUAAACUCCCAAGAUUGUUCGUAAUUGCACAUUUGUGAAUUUUGCUCCGUAUACACACAACGCAAGGGAGAAGCUCCCGGUGCUACGUUGGGUUCCUCCUAAUCCACAGGUACUUUCGACCUAGAGAUCCAUGUGUAGGUUAAUCGAAUACAGAGACUUUUGACUUUGUUCUAAAAUAAAACCCGCACUGACCUGGGUCUAGGUUUCAGCUGUCGGCCCAGUUGCCAAUUUGUGAGAAGACCAGGAGUGGCCAUGUUUACAAUUGUACAUGUGAAGAGAAUUGCUUCCUUGGCAAUUACUACCGCUGACAAAAUUAAAAGUAUGUGUACAAACUUAUGCAAAGAGCAAGCGAUGUUCGCCAAAGCAUCAGGGUGGCCGGUUGCGCGUGUCUGCCUGCCGUAGCUGUAGCUGGUUAUGAAGGAAAGAGUGCCUGGAAGUCCCACUCCGGUCUUUGUCGGCCUGACGAGGGAAAGGGGGAGAAGGAGAGGCUCUAAAGACAUACUCCCUACGUUCCGAAUUACUUGUCUCGGAAAUGGAUAUAUCUAGAAUUAAAAUACAUCUAAAUACAUCCAUUUCUACGACAUGUAAUUCCGAACGGAGGGAGUAGAAUGGUUGAUGCCGGAGCAGGAGGGGACGGUGCAAGAGUUGCUCUAAAGAGAACAAGCUAGAGAUGGAAAAAGAGUGACUGAUACUUUUUCUCUCAAAUAAAAGAAAGAAAAUAAUGCCUGAUACGUACUUUAUCUGUUUCAAAAUAGAUGACUCAACUUUAUACUAGCAUAAAGUCUUUAUACUAG
rnacentral:rRNA from 1 species